rnacentral:rRNA from 1 species
UGCAAGUCGAGCGGAGAUUAAGAAGCUUGCUUCUUAAUCUUAGCGGCGGACGGGUGAGUAACGCGUGGGUAACCUGCCCUAUACACACGGAUAACAUAUCGAAAGAUAUGCUAAUACGAGAUAAUACAUUUUUAAGGCAUCUUAGAAAUGUCAAAGAUUUUAUCGGUGUAGGAUGGACCCGCGUCCCAUUAGCUAGUUGGUGAGGUAAAAGCUUACCAAGGCGACGAUGGGUAGCCGACCUGAGAGGGUGAUCGGCCACACUGGAACUGAGACACGGUCCAGACUCCUACGGGAGGCAGCAGUGGGGAAUAUUGCACAAUGGGGGAAACCCUGAUGCAGCAACGCCGCGUGAGCGAUGAAGGCCUUCGGGUCGUAAAGCUCUGUCCUAAGGGAAGAUAAUGACGGUACCUUAGGAGGAAGCCCCGGCUAACUACGUGCCAGCAGCCGCGGUAAUACGUAGGGGGCAAGCGUUAUCCGGAAUAACUGGGCGUAAAGGGUGCGUAGGCGGCCCUGCAAGUCAGAAGUGAAAGGCUACGGCUCAACCGUAGUAAGCUUUUGAAACUGUAGGGCUUGAGUGCAGGAGAGGAGAGUAGAAUUCCUAGUGUAGCGGUGAAAUGCGUAGAUAUUAGGAGGAAUACCAGUUGCGAAGGCGGCUCUCUGGACUGUAACUGACGCUGAGGCACGAAAGCGUGGGGAGCGAACAGGAUUAGAUACCCUGGUAGUCCACGCCGUACACGAUGAGUGCUAGGUGUCGGGGGUUACCCCCCUCGGUGCCGCAGCUAACGCAUUAAGCACUCCGCCUGGGGAGUACGCUCGCAGAGUGAA